AUGAUUAAUAUUGAUUAUCUGAUUAACUAUGGCCACGGAAGGUUGAAGCUCAAGUAUUGAAUUGUUUUGCGUUGUUGAACAAACACACUAAUUUUAAGCAUUGCUUUUAUAAUUUCUGUUUUGGCUUUACGCUUCAAGAUAUUUGACUUCUAUUA